GUUUCUUUUUUUGUAGAGUGGUGUAACAUUUACGAUUGAUGGUGUUCCUACUGGCGGUGUAGUAUCUAUGGCUGGUGGUUUUCCUGGCAAUUUACAAGUUAGUCGUGUUCCCAGCAGUGUGCAAGUCGUUAGUUCUGUCGCAUAAUCUGGGACAUGAAUGGCAUGAUCUACUGAUAUUUCUGGACCACACCAAUGAACGGAACCUGCUUUCGCAUUCCGGCCUGCCACUCCAAGCUAAUUAAAUGGAAAAAAAGAAUCACAAAUAAUAGUAGCACAAUUUAGAUACAU